rnacentral:piRNA from 2 species
UUGUUGAAUGGAUGAAUGG